CGUCAUACUUUGUUCAAGUCUUAUUAGUGUCAUAGACACCGGAUAUAUUUUAUUUCAUAAUGUCUACUGUUAAAUAAAACUGUUUAGUUGGCCUUGUGCAAUAUAUUCGAAAAGUGAUUGUGAUUUGUGAAUAUUUUGGACUCGGUCCUGAGACUUUCGGGAAUAAUAUAAUUUAUUUUAUAUUCACUAUUGUUUAUACAAAUAUAAAAUACUAUUUUUCAAAGUUUUUGCUCUAAUUGGAAGACACAAAGUGAAAGUAAAUCUGAACUAGUAGUUCAUGUUUACUUUUAUCAUCGAGACUUUCAUCUGACAAAUUAUGUACAUUGGACCACAAUCAUUACGUCAAGAAUUUUAAAGCAAAACUAGUUUAUUAUAGAACUGCUUUGUGUUCAAUGUACUAUUUUAUCCACUUAAAAUAGUCAUUACAAUUUGAUUGAAAAUAAAAUUGGAGGAACUGCAUUGCACACGAAGACAGUUUUGGUGACGUUUAAUGAUGUUCAUCAUAAUUCAAUACUAAUUUCUGUAUUUUACAGGUGCAGGCAUAUUUGAUCGGACACUGUGAUUAUUACACAACGGUCAACUGGAAUGAUACGAUCAAAAUAUUUGGAAAGCAUUCAAAGUAUGAAUAUCUUAAAGAUUUAUCAAACAAUGACAUUUUUAAGACCAUACAAACUUAUUCAAGACUUAUAAAUAAAUGCUCUUUGAAGGGGACUAAGAAGAAAGUUCAAAUUGAAAAUUCAAACUCUACACAGACCCCAUCACGAUGGAUUGUUCGAUCCUGGUUCAACUGCCAAUUCAAAAAUGCAAGAAUAUUCAUUCCGACUACUUUACUAGGAAUCUCUCUAGAAACAUUUAAUCAGGUUCUUUCAACUUCUGCUGCUCUGCACACAGACUCCUUCACCAGGAACAUUUAAUCAGGUCCUUUCAACUUCUGCUGCUCUGCACACAGACUCCUUCACCAGGAACAUUUAAUCAGGUCCUUUCAACUUCUGCUGCUCUGCACACAGACUCCUUCACCAGGAACAUUUAAUCAGAUUUUCAAAAUUUUUCCUGAUGCUCAAAACAUCAUGAGUUUGGAGAACUCAUUCAUGUAAAUGAUUCGCAAGUGUUUUUUUUUAAUAACUGCCUAUAAUUAUGCAUGAUUAACUUAACUCUUACUAAAUCACUAACACGACUAACCUCACUAACUUAAUCAGUUAUUA